CCUACGGGGGGCUGCAGUGGGGAAUAUUGGACAAUGGGGGCAACCCUGAUCCAGCCAUGCCGCGUGUGUGAAGAAGGCCCUCGGGUUGUAAAGCACUUUCAGUGAGGAAGAACGCCUGGUGGUUAAUACCCAUCAGGAAAGACAUCACUCACAGAAGAAGCACCGGCUAACUCCGUGCCAGCAGCCGCGGUAAUACGUAGGGUGCGAGCGUUAAUCGGAAUUACUGGGCGUAAAGCGCGCGUAGGUGGCUUGAUAAGCCGGUUGUGAAAGCCCCGGGCUCAACCUGGGAACGGCAUCCGGAACUGUCAAGCUAGAGUGCAGGAGAGGAAGGUAGAAUUCCCGGUGUAGCGGUGAAAUGCGUAGAGAUCGGGAGGAAUACCAGUGGCGAAGGCGGCCUUCUGGACUGACACUGACACUGAGGUGCGAAAGCGUGGGUAGCAAACAGGAUUAGAUACCCGGGUAGUC
rnacentral:rRNA from 1 species